rnacentral:lncRNA from 1 species
GUUUUAAUUUCAUAAUUCGCCGCCUGAAGAGACAAGAUGGCGGAGCUUGCGAAAUCGAAAAUUGGUACUUGAAAGUCAAUGGUUGAUCAUGAUGACCAUCUUUUAUUUAAUGGAGAAAGAAACCAAUAUUUGCAGCUGGACAGGUUGUCACCACAGUUCAAUGAUUUAGGUCAGACAUCAGCUUUUGAAGUUGCUUUCUUGGCACAUCAUGCUGUCCAGUGGAGUUCAUACCAUAUGCCAGGCCU